rnacentral:lncRNA from 1 species
UCUGGUUUCCACAGUGUAUACUGUUGAUAUUUUCAAAACAAGUAACAAAAAACAGAAUAACUGAAAGCAAGUUUGUAGGGUUUCUGCCCGAAUAUUUCUAAGCAAUUAAUUACACACAUACUCCAACUCACAUACAUGAUAAAGACAUCAUAAAUACAUGCAAGUAUGAAAGAUUUUGCAGAAUAAAUGCUGUGAACAGAUAAUAACACACACAUACACAC